GACGGGGGAUGAAAGCGUGAUCCGGAAUCACUGGGCGUAAAGCGUAUGUAGGUGGUGAUGCAAGUCACUGGUGCAAAACUCUGGCUCAACCGGAGGAAAGCCAGUGAAACUGCAUGACUAGAGUGUGGGAGAGGUAGAAGGAAUUCCCUGAGUAGCGGUGAAAUGCGUAGAUACAGGGAAGAACACCGGAGGCGAAAGCGUUCUACUGGAACACAACUGACACUGAGAGACGAAAGCUAGGGUAGCGAAUGUG
rnacentral:rRNA from 1 species